CUCUGCUGCGGCUGCUGUUCUUCUCCAUCCAUACAUCAGAAAUGAUUCCUUUCCUUCAAAUCAAACAUCAUCCAAAAACACACAAAUCUCGAAUCAUAAAUCACAAAAUCAUUAUUUUCUUCCAUUUUCCAUAAAAAAUUUAAAACAAAAAUCACAAAUUAACAAUGUUAAUCCUGCCUUAAGAAAUAUAUUCUACUACACUCUGUAUUACGUUCUUAUUUUAUCUUUUGUUGCUCUACUGAUCAUAGGUUUUAGAGAUUAGGCUUGAGCCAAACUCCAUGGUAUAGAUAUACACUUGUUUUCAAGCGUUUCCAGAAGUUUUAUAGAUAUAGACAUGUCUUGGUAUCUAUGUUGUAUUUUAGCUUUCACACUCAACUAGGAUUAUUCUUUUGGUUUUCGUCAACUAGAUCUCUUUUCUAAGUACUACCUACUGUUUAAUCCUUGUUGUGCAGCAUCAAAAUUAUUCUUUUGGUUUUCAUCAACUAUGAUAUAUUGUGGCACAAAGACCGCUCUUGAUUUUUACCGAAUUAACCGAACCAAACCACACAUUUCACCGGCUUAACCGUCUACACCGAACCGACUAAACCGAUGCCUAAGUUGGUCGGAAAUGGUUUAGGGAUAUGCAACCGUUGGUUUAAACGGUUUCAAGUUUUGGAACCGAUUUUGAUUUCGAACCUAACCGACCCACACAUACAAAUGACAACAACUUUCUUGACAGCUGUCAACUCCAAUUGUGCUCCCAUGUAGUAAUAGUUAGAUAUGAUAAAAUCCUAAAUUAAGUGAAUGUAUUGAAGCAAGUCUUAAAGAAGUGUACACAACUUGAUCCUCCGUAACUCCUUACAAUAUGACUGUAGAAACACUUUGUAACCAACAAUUGCACCGUUUUAACGGGAUAUGUAUAUAAAAAAGCACAUAAAUAAACUAAAAUAAUUGUCACUGAGGCUCCAACAAAUUUAAGUUUUUA
rnacentral:lncRNA from 1 species